rnacentral:rRNA from 1 species
GACGAACGCUGGCGGCGUGCUUAACACAUGCAAGUCGAACGGCAAGGCCCUGCUUUUGUGGGGUGCUCGAGUGGCGAACGGGCGAGUAACACGUGAGUAACCUGCCCUUGACUAUGGGAUAACUUCAGGAAACUGGGGCUAAUUACGGUUAGGAGCUCCUGCUGCAUGGCGUGGUUUGGAAAUUUUCGGCGGGUGGGGAUGGACUCGCGGCUUAUCAGCUUGUUGGUGGGGUAGUGGCUUACCAAGGCUUUGACGGGUAGCCGGCCUGAGGGGGGGACCGGCCACAUGGGGACUGAGAUACGGCCAAGACUCAUACGGGAGGCAGCAGUGGGGAAUAUUGCACUAUGGGCGGAAGCCUGAUGCAGCAACGCCGCGUGCGGGAUGACGGCCCUCGGGUUGUAAACCGCGUUCGCCUGUGACGAAGCGUGAGUGACGGUAAUGGGUAAAGAAGCACCGGCUAACUACGUG